UUAUGGAGAGUUUGAUCCUGGCUCAGGAUGAACGCUGGCGGCGUGCCUAAUACAUGCAAGUCGAGCGAACGGACGAGAAGCUUGCUUCUCUGAUGUUAGCGGCGGACGGGUGAGUAACACGUGGAUAACCUACCUAUAAGACUGGGAUAACUUCGGGAAACCGGAGCUAAUACCGGAUAAUAUUUUGAACCGCAUGGUUCAAAAGUGAAAGACGGUCUUGCUGUCACUUAUAGAUGGAUCCGCGCUGCAUUAGCUAGUUGGUAAGGUAACGGCUUACCAAGGCAACGAUGCAUAGCCGACCUGAGAGGGUGAUCGGCCACACUGGAACUGAGACACGGUCCAGACUCCUACGGGAGGCAGCAGUAGGGAAUCUUCCGCAAUGGGCGAAAGCCUGACGGAGCAACGCCGCGUGAGUGAUGAAGGUCUUCGGAUCGUAAAACUCUGUUAUUAGGGAAGAACAUAUGUGUAAGUAACUGUGCACAUCUUGACGGUACCUAAUCAGAAAGCCACGGCUAACUACGUGCCAGCAGCCGCGGUAAUACGUAGGUGGCAAGCGUUAUCCGGAAUUAUUGGGCGUAAAGCGCGCGUAGGCGGUUUUUUAAGUCUGAUGUGAAAGCCCACGGCUCAACCGUGGAGGGUCAUUGGAAACUGGAAAACUUGAGUGCAGAAGAGGAAAGUGGAAUUCCAUGUGUAGCGGUGAAAUGCGCAGAGAUAUGGAGGAACACCAGUGGCGAAGGCGACUUUCUGGUCUGUAACUGACGCUGAUGUGCGAAAGCGUGGGGAUCAAACAGGAUUAGAUACCCUGGUAGUCCACGCCGUAAACGAUGAGUGCUAAGUGUUAGGGGGUUUCCGCCCCUUAGUGCUGCAGCUAACGCAUUAAGCACUCCGCCUGGGGAGUACGACCGCAAGGUUGAAACUCAAAGGAAUUGACGGGGACCCGCACAAGCGGUGGAGCAUGUGGUUUAAUUCGAAGCAACGCGAAGAACCUUACCAAAUCUUGACAUCCUUUGACAACUCUAGAGAUAGAGCUUUCCCCUUCGGGGGACAAAGUGACAGGUGGUGCAUGGUUGUCGUCAGCUCGUGUCGUGAGAUGUUGGGUUAAGUCCCGCAACGAGCGCAACCCUUAAGCUUAGUUGCCAUCAUUAAGUUGGGCACUCUAAGUUGACUGCCGGUGACAAACCGGAGGAAGGUGGGGAUGACGUCAAAUCAUCAUGCCCCUUAUGAUUUGGGCUACACACGUGCUACAAUGGACAAUACAAAGGGCAGCGAAACCGCGAGGUCAAGCAAAUCCCAUAAAGUUGUUCUCAGUUCGGAUUGUAGUCUGCAACUCGACUACAUGAAGCUGGAAUCGCUAGUAAUCGUAGAUCAGCAUGCUACGGUGAAUACGUUCCCGGGUCUUGUACACACCGCCCGUCACACCACGAGAGUUUGUAACACCCGAAGCCGGUGGAGUAACCUUUUAGGAGCUAGCCGUCGAAGGUGGGACAAAUGAUUGGGGUGAAGUCGUAACAAGGUAGCCGUAUCGGAAGGUGCGGCUGGAUCACCUCCUUU
rnacentral:rRNA from 1 species